rnacentral:piRNA from 1 species
UGCAGGCUCCUCUUUCACAUUGGUGACUUG